UAAUACACUGGUCUUGUAAACCAGAAAUGAGCACCCUUCCUAGGGCACCCCA
rnacentral:sRNA from 1 species